GGCAGGGAGUGCUGUGGGUGAUUGCUGCCUUCCUCGAGGCACGAUGGAGAAAGCUGAGGCUUCGAAAAAGGAGGAGGGGAUUACUGUAAAUUCAUUGAGGAAAUAAACCAAGGGGGCGUCGGAAGUUAAUAUUGAUGAUGAGAAGGAUAAAAGCAGAAACCCAGCAGCAAAUACUUUGCCUGUCUGAGUGAGAGAUUUGAAACUUUCCCCAGCUUGGAAUAUAUCUAUAUCUACCUCUCAGAAAGUAUCCCAAAAGUGUGAAUGUCAGUAAGACCAAGACACCCAGGUCACAGAAGUACGACCCUGUCUGAGAUCUUGCAGUGAAGCUCCAAGUCUGUGGAGCUAGUUGUGGAAGAAGGAGGUUGU